rnacentral:rRNA from 1 species
AUUGAACGCUGGCGGCAGGCCUAACACAUGCAAGUCGAACGAGUGGCGGACGGGUGAGUAAUGUAUGGGAAACUGCCUGAUGGAGGGGGAUAACUACUGGAAACGGUAGCUAAUACCGCAUACCAUCAGAUGUGCCCAGCUGGUAUUAGCUUGUUGUUGGGUUAACGGCUCACCAAGGCAACGAUCCCUAGCUGGUCUGAGAGGAUGACAAGCCACACUGGAACGUAGACACGGUCCAGACGCCUACGGUAGGCAGCAGUGUGGAAUAUUGCACAAUGGGCGCAUGCCUGAUGCAGCCAUGCCGCGUGUAUGAAGAAGGCCUUCGGGUUGUAAAGUACUUUCAGCUGGGAGGCGUUACCCGCAGAAGAAGCACCGGCUAACUCCGUGCCAGCAGCCGCGGUAAUAC